rnacentral:rRNA from 1 species
AGAGUUUGAUCAUGGCUCAGAAUGAACGCUGGCGGCGUGCAUAACACAUGCAAGUCGAACGAGAAACUCCGGGCUUGCUCGGAGGAGUAAAGUGGCGCACGGGUGAGUAACGCGUGGGUAACUUGCCCCUGAAUCUGGGAUAACUUCGUGAAAACGUAGCUAAUACCGGAUAUUGUCUCAAAAGCCGUGGCUUUUGAGAUGAAAGGUGACCUCUUCGUGAAAGUUGCCGUUUAGGGAGAGGCCCGCGUACCAUUAGCUUGUUGGUGGGGUAAUGGCCUACCAAGGCUACGAUGGUUAGCUGGUCUGAGAGGAUGAUCAGCCACACUGGAACUGAAACACGGUCCAGACUCCUACGGGAGGCAGCAGUGAGGAAUUUUGCGCAAUGGGGAAACCCUGACGCAGCAACGCCGCGUGAGUGAAGAAGGCCUUAGGGUCGUAAAGCUCUGUCAAGUGGGAAAAAACACUUGCGAUUAAUAGUCGGGAGUGCUGAUGGUUUUAC